GGGAAUUUGAGUAUCUGAGUUGGGGAGUAACAUGAAAUACACAGUCAUGAAAGAUAAAAACAGAACAUAAAAUAGGAUCUGCAGGUGGAAACCCUUCUAUCCCCUCUCUGCUCGUUUUUCUCCUCUGUCUGCUAAUUUGUUGCUUGUUUUGCCUACGAUUGGUCACCAUACUUGUGCUUUCUUUCUCUUUUGUUUUCUUUCUGUGAAUUUCCGAAAUGUACAUGAAAAAUACAAUUCAAGUGGAAAAUUAUUGCAAAAAUGGGAAACAUGAUGUUUUACAGUUUUAACUGAUGUUAUUAGCAGCUGUGUCCAUAGACAUAAUAGAGUGACAGAAUGGAAAAAUAAAUACAUUGGAAUCAAUAAGCCGAAGAAAAGUGAACCAGGCCAUUACUUUCCUGCUUUCAAGGAAAUGAGGCCUGGCCAUUUGCAAGAACAGAAAAUUUCAUUGAAAAUUGAACCCUCUUAAUGAGAGAGAAUCUCUGCCUAUUCUGUUGAGCUAAGGCAACAGGAUCGCUAUUGACAACUCUCUGGUCUGCUUAACAUAUUGCUAUCACCCCUGCAAAUUCCACUGAGAAAUUGUACAUAGAGUACUACCAUCAUUCUGCGUUCAGGUUCAGGUAGAAUAACAGGAGCGCACUACUUCAUCUCUAAAGAUAUCUGAGAGAAAUGUGGCAGGUCCCAAAUUACUUGACUGAAAUGUGUGAACUCUGAUAACCUAUCAGAAAAACAGAAAAGAAUAAAACAAGAAGAGAUCACACUAUUAGGAGUAAAUGGGCUAGACUUGUUUUAGGUAGAAAAUGGUAUUGGUCAGCAUGGAUAUGGGCAUCUU
rnacentral:lncRNA from 1 species